rnacentral:hammerhead_ribozyme from 1 species
AUCCAGCUGACGAGUCCCAAAUAGGACGAGACGAGAUGAGCACGUCCUGGAU